AGUGGGGCAAUAUCGGAUUGAGGUCACGGCUUUGUGAUGGCCACUCCAAUACCUUGACUUUGUUGUCCUUACGACCAUUUUGCCACAACUUUGGAAGUAUGCUUGGGGUCACUGUCCAUUUGGAAGACCCAUUUGCAACCAAGCUUUAUCUUCCUGACUGAUGUCUUCAUAUGUUGCUUCAAUAUAACCACAUCAUUUUCCUGCCUCGUGGUGCCAUCUAUUUUGUGAAGUGCACCAGUCCCUCCUGCAGCAAAGCACCUGCACAACAUGAUGCUGCCACCUCCGUGCUUCACGGUUAGGAUGGUGUUCUUCGGCUUGCAAGCAUCCCCUUUAACCUCCAAACAUAACGAUGGACACAGAACAUGUCUCCUUCCUGAGUGGUAUGACGGCUACCUGGUCCCAUUGUAAAUGGUUCAGGCUACGCAAUGCACGGUGGAGACAGGCGGAGGGCCUUCCAGCUCAACUGGGAUCAGUGAAAGACUGAAAUUGGAGUGGU